rnacentral:snRNA from 1 species
GUGCUUGCUUCAGCAGCAUAUAUACUAAAAGACUGGAACAAUACAGAGAAAAUUAGCUUGGACCCUGCAAAUGAGCAUGGUUUGAGAUUUACUAUCAUCUGAU